rnacentral:lncRNA from 1 species
GUAUACACAUGUAGUACUAAGUAUAUGGAUAUUUCAGUUUUAACCGAUUCAACGAAACGUCCUAAGACAAUGAUUUUAGUCCAGGAAAACUGACAAAUGAAGCUCAAUUUGACCUCUUCAUCAAAAGACGAAAGAAGGCUACCUUGAAAACUCUGUUCACGACCAGACACGGGUGUCGUGCAAUGUGGGUCCUCUGGCGGAGGGAGCUACUGACUGUUAGCGGUGCAGUGGUUUGUUUACAAACAAGAGGGCUCCACGUGAUCAAGUACUGCCGAAACCCACCGAGGUACAGUUCAACAUGCGUCUGCUAGCAGCCUUACCUUUGGUUCACAUUCAGGAACUCUACGCCUAUUCAGGCAUUUAUUUUAUGUGAAUUGAAUAAAUAUAUUUGUCUGGGAUUUCUUUUUAUAUUUUUAUAUGAAA